ACAAAGAAGUAUGAUUUGGAUGACCUGCGGAAGACCCCGAAUCAGUUCUUUGUUGAGUCAGGAAAGAAGGCUGAGAAUGGAUAUAGUUUUGUUAGUACUCCUUCACCCGCGCCUGGUGUUGAUGGAUCACCGUUUAUAACGUGGGGAGAAAUUGAAGGAACACCUUUGCGGCUGGAGCAGGAGGAUACACCCAUUGAUAUUGGUGGAAAUGGUGAAGGCCCUCAGUAUAAGAUCCCAAUGCCACCCUCCAGAGAUACAAAGGCUCAUUCUUUAUCUCGUGAAGCUGCUCGUAAGUUGAGGGAGAGGUCAAAGAUGUUUCAGAAACCACCAUUACCUUCACCAGUUAGAGGAGGGAGUGCUAGUCCAGCUGCACGUACUCUUUCACCUGCUGCACAGAAGUUUAUGCGAAAGGCAAUUGCCAAGUCGUCUCACUCUUUAGACGAAUCUCUACGAGCAAGUUACCGUGGUUCAAGUCCUGGAAUGAACACUCCUAAAACUGGCAGGAGUUUGUCAAGGUUAGGAAGAGAAGGUAGCCGAGAUUCCAGGUCACCAUCUAUAAGAGGAGGAUCUAAUCCUCCUUGGUAAUUGUCUUAUAGUAAUGUAUUGGUAACUACCUGUUCCUUAUUACAAAAAAGUAUUGGUAAUAACAUGUUAACCGUUCUCAAACUUUGUCUCUUUUACCUAAG
rnacentral:misc_RNA from 1 species